rnacentral:rRNA from 1 species
UACGGAGGGUGCAAGCGUUGUUCGGAAUCACUGGGCGUAAAGCGCGUGUAGGCGGUCUCCUAAGUCUGGUGUGAAAGCCCGGGGCUUACCCCCGGAAGUGCACUGGAUACUGGGAGACUGGAGUACCGGAGAGGAGGGUGGAAUUCCUGGUGUAGCGGUGAAAUGCGUAGAUAUCAGGAAGAACACCGGUGGCGAAGGCGGCCCUCUGGACGGAUACUGACGCUGAGACGCGAAAGCGUGGGGAGCAAACAGG